UCCGCCCCUGCCCACAGCCUCAUCUGUCAGCUGCCCAGCCCCAGCCUGGCUGACCUCGGUCUGGCUUGGUCCCACCUCCCUCCGAUUGCUCCUCUGAAAACUCAAUAUUGGAAGCUGGUGCUUGAGGACAAGCCCUGGCAGGCCGAGGGCACCUGCUCCUCUGUCUGCCCUCCUGGAACCACGCGUCGGGUCACAGGCCGCUGGGCAGAGGUCUCCGUGGGCCCCCAGCCACCCUACCCUGUCCGACCUGGGGCUACCUGGCAGCUCCUGAUCCCACAGGGCUGUCCCUUGGUUCUCCUGUGCCCACCUUGUACCCAGGCGCUCUGGGCUGUGUCCACCACAGAAGCCCUUUGUGAGAAGACAAUGGACCGUUCUGUAAAAACCUUCAUUUCCUAGAGAGGGGCCCACCUGUGACCCCAGGAGGGGAUACAGGAGUUGGGGGGAACUUCAGAGAUGAGAGGGAGUGUGUCCUGGGACCCCUGGGGCUGGCUUUGGGGCAGAGGCUAAGGCCAAGGCCCUCCCCAUUAGGCCUCUGGAGCCAGCACAGUUACUGCAUCCCCAAACAGGUAUGUCCAAGUCCCAAACCCCAGGACCUGGGAAUGUGACCUUUGGAAACAGGCCCUUUGCAGAUGUAUUAAGAUGUAAGUAAAGAUGAGGCCAUGCUGGAGCAGGGGGAGCCCUGAUUCCCAGGUUCUGAUAGAGAAAGGGGACAUUUGGACGUAGAGACAGACGCGCAGGGAAAAACACCCUUUAAGACACAGGGGAGGGGUGAAGGCAGUGGUUGGGUGAUGUGGCCACAAGCCAAGGGACACCUGGAGCCCCGAAGCUGGAAGAGGCAGGAAGGAUCCCCCUCGAGGGCUUGGCCUUGCCGACAGUUUGACUUAGGACUCAGCACUGGUGGCCUCCAGAACCAUGAGAGAAUCAAUUGCCAUUGUUUUAAGAUGCCCAGCUCAGGCUGGUUGUCUUGGCUGCCCAGGGCCCCCCUGUGAGGCCCAAGUCAACCCCGGCACGACUUCUGGUGACUGCCAGCCCCAGGCAGGACCCACCCACGGGCCUCAGCCCCCUCCUCCGGCCAGGCCUGUGGAGGCGCCCUGAUGCCCUCAGCACCACGUGGGCCUCAGCUGUCCCUGCAGGGUGAUGCAAAUCCUCCCGCACUUCUGCCUCCAGAGCAGGAACCAGCCCGCGGACCGCAGAGAGGCAGGAUUUGAAUACGGCCUCCCGCGCUGGUGGAGACGCCUGGUGGUUUUCUGUGUUGGGAGCUGGUGUCUGUGGCCAGGCCCCAGGUGGGGGCUGGAGGCUGGGACAAGGCUUGGCAUUGCUGUUGUGUCCCGGGGCUGCCAAAACAAAGGGCCACACUCUCGGGGGCUCAAAACAACAAAUGGAUGAUCUCAUAGUUCUAGAGCCCAGACGUCCCAAAUCCAGGCAUCGGCAGGGCCGUGCUCCCCCUGGAAGCUCUCAGAGCGGGUCCUUCCCACCCUUUCCAGGUUCCUGAGGCGCCAGGUGUUCCUGGCUGUGGCCGCGUGGCUCCAGCUUCUGCCUUGGUUGCCGCAUGGUCUGCCUCGCCUGUCUGUGUCCUCUGCAAUCAUUGAUUGCCCAGGCCCGCCCUACCCCAGCGUGGCUUCAUCUUCAUGGUGCGCCAUCUGCAAGGACCCCACUUCCAAACGAGGUCAUAUUCUAAGGUUCCCAGUGGACAGUAUCCAACCAUUAGUGUCGCCCCAUCUGGGAGGACACCACUUAAUGCAGAACAGGCAGGGAGGUGGGAUGUGUGCUUGUAGCCCUGGGCGGGAGUCCUCACCCUGGGCGGGGGUCCUCAGGCUGGCCUUCACUCCCACCAGGCCCUGCCACACCUGGUCACCCGCUGGGGUCAAUCCUGGCUACGUGUGGACAUGUGCCCUGCAGCUGGGGAUGCAUGGCCAGGCGUGUCCCCAGCACAGGGUGUAGGGGGCUUGGGGUUUGGCCAUGACCCUCAGCCUGGGGGACGGGACUGGGCUGGACAACACUGUUAUCCUCGCCUUCCCCAUGACUCUUAGGCCAUAGAUGGGGGACUCCUUCUUCUCUUCCCUUCGUCCCUGGUGGGGAAGCUAAUGGAGGGCCUGGGCCUUGGGAGGGGUCCUACAGGGCUCCCUGGCCCUUGAAUUGCUUUCCAGUGAGCCUCAGCUUUGCCUCUUGGAAGUUCUGGGAUAGGACAUCCGGGAGUACCCUUCAGCCUGGAGCUCGGCAGUGCCUCCCUGACUCUAUGCAAGACCCCCGGGACGACCAGCAGCCAUCAGAGGUGGAAGCAGCCACAACCAAAGCUCUGGCCCUUCCCAGGGCCCACAGCACCUCCUUCCUCCCGAGGACGGGACAGAGCUGGGCACCCAGCAGCUGAGGUCAGGGAAGCCGAGUAGCAGCGUGGGGCAGCCUCACCUUCCUGGUGGCCGCAACCACCCCUUGCCCCAUGCCCAGGCUCGGUGCCCCCCGCCCCCGCCGGCCAGCCCAGGGACUAAGGAGGCAUUUGGCCAGGUGCUAGGCACCAGGCAAAUGGGCCCAGAGGGAGGUGAUGCAAACAGCUGGGAUUUGCAUGAGCAGGUGCCCAGGUCUUCUGCACCCCUCCCUGUGCAUCCCAGGGUGGGGCAGGGAGCCCGGGACAGCCAGGGGCCAUCGUGACCCCUGGCCAGAAGUCCACCCCAGAACUCCCAAGAGGCAAAACUGAGGCAGCCCCCCAGACGGUGAAGGCGCUGGGGCUCCCAGGGCAGCGGGGCACCUGUAGCCGCAGCCAAGAGCCAAAUGUGGCUUCCUGGGCUCCCCAAGACCAGCUCAGGGCAGAGCUGGAUGACCAGGCCCUGGGGUCCCAGCCCCGCUCAUCCCCACCAGGCUGUGUAACUUUGGG
rnacentral:lncRNA from 1 species